AUUAAUGAAUUAUAUUGAUUGAAUUUUAUAUGAAGUUCAAUUGUAAAAUUUAAAGAUAUUGGCGGUGUUUUGUUUUAUUCUGAGAAUCUUGUGUAAUUAAAAUGAUUGUACACAUUUUAUCUUACCUUUAUAAAUUGUUGGCUUAUGUAUUGCUGUUUAAUUUAUGUUUUGUUUUUGAAUAGAUUUAAUUAUAAAAAUAAUGAAAAAUUCAAGUCAAGAUGUAGUUAUUUAGGGGUUUAUAUGAGUUGCUUUUUUUUAGGAUUAAAAGAGUAUAAAAUGAUUUGAAAAAGUUAUUAAUAGGAGGAUUAGGUUGUAAAAA
rnacentral:rRNA from 1 species